GACUCUUUGGCUCAGUGGUAGAGCAUCUGAUUCCAGUAGAAGCUUGGUUUCCAGAAGGUCGUCCGUUCGAUCCGGGCAAGAGUCA